rnacentral:rRNA from 1 species
AGCGUAGACGGAUGGACAAGUCUGAUGUGAAAGGCUGGGGCUCAACCCCGGGACUGCAUUGGAAACUGCCCGUCUUGAGUGCCGGAGAGGUAAGCGGAAUUCCUAGUGUAGCGGUGAAAUGCGUAGAUAUUAGGAGGAACACCAGUGGCGAAGGCGGCUUUCUGGACUGUAACUGACGUUGAGGCUCGAAAGUGUGGGUAGCAAACA